rnacentral:miRNA from 1 species
UAUGCUGAUGAACAAAGGCUUG